rnacentral:rRNA from 1 species
CGGAACGGGUAGGAGUAACAACGUACGGGAACCGGUACGCCCGUCGCACCGGGAAGUAACGCUCUGGAAAACGGAGAACAAAUCCCGAUGUACAGGAAGGAGGGCAUCUUCUUUCUGUGAAACAUCCUUUAGGGGAUGGGGCGCGGAUGGACCUGCGGUGCAUUAGUUGGGUUGGCGGGGUAAAGGCCCACCAAGACGAUGAUGCAUAGCCGGCCUGAGAGGGCGGACGGCCACAUUGGGACUGAGACACGGCCCAGACUCCUACGGGAGGCAGCAG